GUGGGUGUAGCUCAACUGGUUAGAGCACCUGGUUGUGGUCCAGGAGGUUGUGGGUUCGAGUCCCAUCACUCACC
rnacentral:tRNA from 1 species